rnacentral:rRNA from 1 species
GAUGAACGCUAGCGAUAGGCUUAACACAUGCAAGUCGAGGGACCGGCGCACGGGUGCGUAAAGAGUAUGCAACUUGCCUCACAGGGGGGGAUAACUCGUAGAAAGACGGACUAAUCCCUCGUACUGUGAGAUAGGCAUGCGUCCCAUUAGCUAGUUGGUGAGGUAACGGCUCACCAAGGCAACGAUGGGUAGGGGAACUGAGAGGUUGAACCCCUACACUGGUACUGAGACACGGACCAGAAUCGUAGGGGAGGCAGCAGUGAGGAAUAUUGGUCAAUGGGCGAGAGCCUGAACCAGCCAAGUAGCGUGAAGGAUGACUGGCUAUGGAUUGUAAACUUCUUGUGUAGGGGAAUAUGUACCCUACGAAUAAGCAUCGGCUAACUCCGUGCCAGCAGCCGCGGUAAUUC